rnacentral:rRNA from 1 species
AAGUGGAGCAAUCCCUGAGUACAGUGGCGUACGGGUGAGUAACACGUGACUAACCUACCCUCGAGUGGGGAAUAACCUCGGGAAACCGGGGCUAAUACCGCAUAACAUCUUCGGAUCAAAUGCGUAAGCAGCUUGAGGAGGGGGUCGCGGCCGAUUAGCUAGUUGGCGGGGUAAUGGCCCACCAAGGCAAUGAUCGGUAGCCGGCCUGAGAGGGCGCACGGCCACACUGGAACUGAAACACGGUCCAGACUCCUACGGGAGGCAGCAGUGGGGAAUUUUGCGCAAUGGGGGAAACCCUGACGCAGCAACGCCGCGUGGAGGAUGAAGCCCUUUGGG